rnacentral:rRNA from 1 species
CCCUUAGAUGUCCUGGGCUGCACGCGCGCUACACUGGAAGUUACGGGUUGAGAUACUACCUUGUCCGAAAUGGUCCGGGUAAUCACCUAAAAGCUUGUCAUAAUUGGAAUGGAUUAUUGUAACUAGUAAUCCUGAACGAGGAAUUCCUAGUAAGUCCCAGUCAACAGCUGGUACUGAUUACGUCCCUGCCCUUUGUACACACCGCCCGUCGCUACUACUGAUUGGACGUUUAAGCAAGAUUUUUAAACACUGACAGUGUGUAGUUCACGCUAUACUACAGUGAGAAGAAGAAGAUCGAGCUUACUUGUCUAGAGGAAGUAAAAGUCGUAACA